GACGAACGCUGGCGGCGUGCUUAACACAUGCAAGUCGAACGGAAAGGCCCUGCUUUUGUGGGGUGCUCGAGUGGCGAACGGGUGGGUAACACGUGAGUAACCUGCCCUUGACUUUGGGAUAACUUCAGGAAACUGGGGCUAAUACCGGAUAGGAGCUCCUGCUGCAUGGUGGGGGUUGGAAAGUUUCGGCGGUUGGGGAUGGACUCGCGGCCUAUCAGCUUGUUGGUGGGGUAGUGGCUUACCAAGGCUUUGACGGGUAGCCGGCCUGAGAGGGUGACCGGCCACAUUGGGACUGAGAUACGGCCCAGACUCCUACGGGAGGCAGCAGUGGGGAAUAUUGCACAAUGGGCGGAAGCCUGGUGCAGCAACGCCGCGUGCGGGAUGACGGCCUUCGGGUUGUAAACCGCUUUCGCCUGUGACGAAGCGUGAGUGACGGUAAUGGGUAAAGAAGCACCGGCUAACUACGUG
rnacentral:rRNA from 1 species